GUAGGGAAUAUUGCGCAAUGGACGAAAGUCUGACGCAGCGACGCCGCGUGAGUGAUGAAGGCCUUAGGGUCGUAAAGCUCUGUUGAAUGGGAAGAAAAAAAUGACGGUACCAUUCGAGGAAGGACCGGCUAACUUCGUGCCAGCAGCCGCGGUAAUACGAGGGGUCCUAGCGUUGUUCGGAAUCAUUGGGCGUAAAGGGUGUGUAGGUGGCCAUGUAAGUCAGGUGUGAAAGCCCCGGGCUCAACCCGGGAAGUGCACUUGAUACUGCGUGGCUUGAGUACCGAAGAGGGUAGUGUAAUUCCAGGUGUAGUGGUGAAAUACGUAGAUAUCUGGAGGAACACCGGUGGCGAAGGCGGCUACCUGGUCGAGUACUGACACUGAGACACGAAAGCAUGGGGAUCAAACAGGAUUAGAAACCCGUGUAGUCC
rnacentral:rRNA from 1 species